rnacentral:rRNA from 1 species
GAUGAACGCUGGCGGCGUGCCUAAUACAUGCAAGUCGAGCGAACAGACGAGGAGCUUGCUCCUCUGACGUUAGCGGCGGACGGGUGAGUAUCACGUGGAUAACCUACCUAUAAGACUGGGAUAACUUCGGGAAACCGGAGCUAAUACCGGAUAAUAUAUUGAACCGCAUGGUUCAAUAGUGAAAGACGGUUUUGCUGUCACUUAUAGAUGGAUCCGCGCCGCAUUAGCUAGUUGGUAAGGUAACGGCUUACCAAGGCAACGAUGCGUAGCCGACCUGAGAGGGUGAUCGGCCACACUGGAACUGAGACACGGUCCAGACUCCUACGGGAGGCAGCAGUAGGGAAUCUUCCGCAAUGGGCGAAAGCCUGACGGAGCAACGCCGCGUGAGUGAUGAAGGUCUUCGGAUCGUAAAACUCUGUUAUUAGGGAAGAACAAAUGUGUAAGUAACGAUGCACGUCUUGACGGUACCUAAUCAGAAAGCCACGGCUAACUACGU